CAGAGGCCCGGAGUUACCAGCAAGGUCUGACGCAGCAGAGUGCAGAAACGGCCUCCCUGUCUGUCAAAGUGGCCUCCCGAGGACACCCAGCGAGGCCACCAGAUCAUCACGUGGAGUAUCGGUGGCCUUAUUAAAACAAAAACAACAACUCCACAGCCCGGCGAGCGAUGGAAACUCGCUCUGUCGCCCAGGCUGGAGUGCAGCGGUGUGAUCUCAGCUCUCUGCAACCUCCACCUUCCAGGUUCAAGGGAUUCUUCUGCCUCAGCCUCACAAGUAGCUGGGAUUACAGGUGUGCACCACCAUGCCCGGCUAAUUUUUGUAUUUUUAAUAGAGACGGGGUUUUACCAUGUUGCCCAGGUUGGUCUUGAACUCCUGACCUCAAGUGAUCUUCCCGCCUCAGCCUCCCAAAGUGCUGGGAUUACAGGUGUGAGCCACCACACCCAGCCUAAAAAUUUGAAAUAUGGGAAAGCUAGAAUAGGAAAACCAAACAUGGAGGUUGAAAAAGAAAUUGAGACGAAGUUAGAGAAAGAUUGAAACCCGUAGGUUAACAUUUAACCAUGCCAAUAGAUUGUGUCGAAUAGACUGUGACUCCUAAGACCUCCCUGGGUCAGUUAUGGGCCCCUCCGUGAGUCGAUCUGCUGCUUGUACUGGAGGGACAAGCUCCGGGGAUGCUCUGCAAUUCCACUGCUUCUGUUCAACCCUGCCUCAGCUACCUACAACAUGUACAAUAUUUAAGGACUUUGAGCCUCAACUGGGAAAUGUGAUGUUAAUGUAGGAUCCAUAUUUUUGUAAUACAGCCAAGAAGCAGAAUUAUAAAACCAGUAAUAAAUACCUGAAAUGUUUCCUUUCCAUUUUAAACAAAUACAUGGCACCAACCAG
rnacentral:lncRNA from 1 species